UACGUAGGGUGCAAGCGUUAAUCGGAAUUACUGGGCGUAAAGCGUGCGCAGGCGGUUGUGCAAGACAGAUGCGAAAUCCCCGGGCUCAACCUGGGAACUGCAUUUGUGACUGCAUCGCUGGAGUGCGGCAGAGGGGGAUGGAAUUCCGCGUGUAGCAGUGAAAUGCGUAGAUAUGCGGAGGAACACCGAUGGCGAAGGCAAUCCCCUGGGCCUGCACUGACGCUCAUGCACGAAAGCGUGGGGAGCAAACAGG
rnacentral:rRNA from 1 species